AUAAUUACAAUCAUGAUGUUGAUUGCUGAUGUCAGUAUAUAUAUUUUAGAGGAAUGUUUUGUUUUUCACCCAAAAUGAACUAUAUUGCUUCAGAAGAGAUUUAUUACUCUGCCUGACUCUUAUAUAUUGUUCUGUUUUUUGUUUGUUUUUGUUAUUUUCAGGUUCAAUGGUGCGUGUUCUUCUAAUGGCCGCCUUCCCACUGGAAGUUUUGAUCCACAGCAAUUUAAAAGGAGCACAGAUCAAAACGGACAUCGGCGCAGAGUGAAGAACUGCCCUUCAUAAGGACACUAUGACAGCCAUAUAUAUGGCGGUAAGGAAGAGGUUUCCCAAUGUGUCCAGAAGGGCUUUGAGGAUUGCAGUGAAAGCUGGGGA